AUCACUACGCUAGAUGCAUAUCAAUAAGCGGAGGAAAAGAAACUAACAAGGAUUCCCUUAGUAACGGCGAGUGAAGCGGGAAGAGCUCAAAUUUGAAAUCUUCAAGGUUUUACCUUGACGAAUUGUAGUUUAAAGAAGUGUUUUCUGUUGAAGUUUCGGUAAAAGUUCUUUGGAAUAGGACAUCAUAGAGGGUGAGAAUCCCGUAUUUGACCGUUAUUUUCAGCUGUGUGAUACACUUUCAAAGAGCCGGAUUGUUUGGGAAUGCAGUCCAAAAUGGGUGGUAAAUUUCAUCUAAAGCUAAAUACUGGCGAGAGACCGAUAGCGAACAAGUACCGUGAGGGAAAGAUGAAAAGAACUUUGAAAGGAGAGUUAAACAGUACGUGAAAUUGUCAAAAGGGAAGCGUUUGACACCAGUGUUGUUUUUCUCGAAAAUCAAUUAAAAAUGGCCGGAUUUUGUGUUGUAUUGACUUUAUCAGCUUUCUGCACUUUUUUCUUGUCUCUUUUAAUGCACUUUUCGUUUAACAAGUCAACAUCAAUUUCUUUUGUUGUAAAAGAGUCAUUGGAAGGUGGCCUUCUUUUCGGAGAAAAGUGUUUAUAGCCUUUGGCUUCUGCAAUCGGAGAGAUUGAGGUCUGCAGCGUAGAUCCUUCGGGGUUAGAUGCAGUUUGUGCUAAGUUAUAGCCUUUUCAUAGACAACUUGUUGACUAUGAUCAGUCAUGUAGCUUACUCGCUUAUGUCUAUUUUACCUACGCUUAGGAUGUUGAAGAUAUGCGCGACACG
rnacentral:rRNA from 1 species